AACGAACGCUGGCGGCAGGCCUAACACAUGCAAGUCGAGCGAACCCUUCGGGGUUAGCGGCGGACGGGUUAGUAACGCGUGGGAAUAUGCCCUUCUCUACGGAAUAGUCUCGGGGAAACUGGGGGGUAAUACCGGUAUACGCCCUACGGGGGAAAGAUUUAUCGGAGAAGGAUUAGCCCGCGUUGGAUUAGGUAGUUGGUGGGGUAAUGGCCUACCAAUCCUACGAUCCAUAGCUGGUUUGAGAGGAUGAUCAGCAACACUGGGACUGGAGACACGGCCCAGACUCCUACCGGGAGGCAGCAGUGGGGAAUCUUAGACAAUGGGCGCAAGCCUGAUCUAGCCAUGCCGCGUGGACGAUGAAGGCCUUAGGGUUGUAAAGUCCUUUCAGAUGGGAAGAUAAUGACGGUACCAUCAGAAGAAGCCCCGGCUAACUCCGUGCCAGCAGCCGCGGUAAUGUCUGUACU
rnacentral:rRNA from 1 species